AUUUGUGAACAAUCCUUUCAGAAAUGGCUCGUCAGAUGACAAAAUGCAUGGGCUUAUGGAAGAGGUGCAUCGGCCUGAGAACUGCGAAGCUCAUGUGAAAACCAGUGUUACACAGAAGCAAUUUUGCGGAGGGGGUGAUUUCCAGUGUCCUCAACUAUAAAGAUAAAGCUUCUGUGGUCAAGGUAGCAGUCAAGGAUGACGUGAUCCUGGCUCCUGAAAAAAAACAGCCCACAUGGUCGGUAUGCUUGCAGUAAUGAAAGCGGACUUUGUUACUGCCGGAAAUGGUGUCGAAAUACGCUGUUUGAGUGAUAUAUCUUGUAUAGUUACAUGUUUAUGAAUGGUAAAAUCUUGUGACACCAUGGAUAGUAUUAUAUCAUUGUAAAUGAAUGCCCCUAUCAGAACUGGCGAUCGACCUCAGUCUUGACUAAGGGUGUAAGUUACUGGUAUCAUAUGAUCAGUUUUAGAUUAAUGGCUCUUUUAUUAUGUGGAUAGGUUAAAGAAAUGACACUUUUUGCCACCAAACGAGAUUGUUUUGAUACACUUUUUUGCCAUGCUAUCAAUGUAAUGUCAUUCUUUUGGUUAGAUAUGAUAAAAGAUAUGCUUUUCUAAUGUGGACAAUGUGGUUUUCAUGCUAAUUAUACAUGGUUUUGUGGUUAUGAGAUGCCCUAGCAUUUUUUUAGAAAUUGUAUAUGGCCAUUUUAAUGAAACCCAAAUAUAUGUUUAUUUCUGUACUAUUCUUUGUGUCUUUGCCCAACUUUUAAUUGAAUUGUUAAAAAGAUUACUAUAUGAUUGGUUAGUAAUGAUUUUAGAGAACAUUUAAUAAAUUAAUUAUCCAUUGGCAUUGAAAUCCAUUAUCAUUCUUUAUGAUUUUGGCAAAAAAAUGGCAGCAUUAAGCGCAAAAAGCUAUAAUAAAGCAAUAACAGUGUCAGUGGCAUUUUAAGCAGUGGUGUUUUUAUUCUUUCAUGGACAUAAAAAAUUGCAUUUAUAAGGAAAAAAUUAAUUUUAAGGGUGUUGACUUUAAACAAGUCAUAUAUUAGCAUUAACUAUUUAUGCAAGCACAACAAAUGAAUAAGACUUACCGCUAUUGGUUAUUAAUAUAAAUAGCACAAAAAUAUGCAGGUAACAUAGCAACUCCCAUGAUGUUAUAAUGAACAUUUUAAAAAUGCAUACUUCAUUAAUAUCUUUGUGUUGUUUGCAUUACUUGAUUCAUACUUAAAAUUAAUUGUGUUUUACAACAUAAAUCUUUGUAUCAUUUUUGUGUUUUGAUUGUCCAAUAUUAAUGAUGUACUAGCAAAUUUUAUAAAAUUUCUCUUUCUGUUUUUUGAACAUUUAAUGAUAGUUUAAGUGUAUUUUUUCGUAAAUCAGAAACUGUUUGUAAAGAAUCACUAAUUAUUGUUGCGUUAUACAUAAAUAUAAGUAUGCUUAUUAAGUAUAAAUCAGUAGAAGGCAGCAUAUCUUCUUAAAUGAGUAAUUCAGUUUAUUUAUUUAAAAUAAUAACACUUUUAAAACACAUUACGAUAAUAUGGUAAAAUGGAUCCAUGCAUGUAGAUGUAUUGGUAAAUUGUUUUUAUAUAAUGUAGAUUAUAAACUGAAUAAAAUUUCUGAAACAGGAAAAAUUCUGUCAUGUUGUUAUAGAAUACAGCGGUAAUUGUUAAAGCUUGAACAAUGGGUUAUUUUGUCAAUGUCAAUAGAGCACAUACCAGACUUAAAUGGCAAUAUUACAUCUGGUCAGUGAGAGAAAUAAUUUUGAUGGAACAUUAUCUUAUGGGGCCAUUAUGAAGAUGGAUUUCAUAUCUACAGUGAUGCAAUUUCCUGUGUGAUGAAGGAAUGGCCAAGAUAUCUUCCCUCUGCCGUUACCUGACAAGGUCACCGUUAUCUCGCCUAGUCAUUAAUGUGAUUUCCUUUUAACUAUGUACUCAGAUAAAAUGAUUUUCUGAUAGUAUUACAUAGUUAUGUAGUUUGAAAUGUGUCAUGCACUUCACAAAUGCUCCAGUUUCCAUCCCAUCGGUGGGAAUUGUGGGAAAGGUUUGUUUGAAGUACCAUUGUUUGAGCAAAAAGCAAUUGUAACUACAUGUAAUGUGCACAAUUAAAUGUAAUUUAACACACAACCAUUGAAUUGUGGGCACGAAAUAGUCUGUGGUUUUUGUGGGUACCCACUUUGUAAAUAAAUGCUCUAAUAUAGUAAAAAUGUACUUUAAGGCUUUAUGAUUUGUUGGCGUAAUUUAAGACAACUGGAUUGUAUUCAUUAACUGCAGAUAUUUUAGGGUGUGUUUUAAGUACAAUCAGUUAUGGUCACAGUGUGGUGUUGUGGCUGCCGAGUGUCACAUGGUGAGAUGUACUUUAAGAUUAGAGAAUGUCACUAACUAGGAUCUGUGUUCCAGACCUUUCUCAUAUUUACCCACCAGUACCCAUACCCAUAUUCACCAAGUGUAUCUGUAUUCACCACUCAAACUGCAUUAACACACCAAGCCCCAGGUAUUCCCCCCCCCCCUACCCAUCAGGGUCAGUGCUUGCCAACAAUGACUCAUAAUCACCCACAUUUUUAUUUUUACUUGCCAAAAAACAAUUAUUAAUCGGAAAUCAUAUCAACAUUUUACAAAGUUGCAGUAGCUGUAAAAUGAUCCAUCAUCCAAGCUUUAGUGAGGGAUGAUGGGCAUUAUUUGAGUAAAGCCGAACCCACCUUCAUUCUGUGAUGUUUACGGAAAGCUAUUUCAACUAACUAUGCAAACAUACUAUUUAAUAUGUAUUUUGGCAUAAUCAAAACAAAGUGUAUGUAUUGAUAUUUGUGUAUAUUUUAUGUGUUUUGUAUCUAUGUUAUUAAUGAAAUUGAUUAGAUGAAUAUGAAA